rnacentral:lncRNA from 1 species
AACAGUAAAAGUAUUACAUGAGGGGUCAACUUUUAAGUUGCACAUGAUCCACAUUGAUAAGAUCAAGAAUCAAUCUAGUAACAUGCCAUGAUAAACUACAGAUGUCAAGUGUUUGACUAUUUCUGAAAUAAUGAUCAGUAAAUGGGCCUUUCUCCCUAGCCACAUAGGAGAACUGUUACUGUUACCCUGCAAAGAACAAGGACAAGAUUUUCCUACAAUCAGUGUUACAGUAGAUGGUACAAUCAUUUGCUGCAUCCAGAAAAUAUAACUUUGGGGUUCUUAGAAAAGAACUUAAAGAGUAACUUGCAUCAUUUCUGUUACAAAAUCAGUAUGCAAAAGAAAGAUUGGUGAUGCAUAGCCCAUCUCAUCCUCAAUCUUAGUGUGUUCUUUUGGAUUCAAAAAGAGUUAAGACAUUUAAGUAAAAACAGAGGAAACUAGAAACUAACAAAUCUUAAGUGUUAGACAAAAUACUAUUAUUCCCAUCUUUUUGAUUGACUCUUUGAAAUCCACAACAAUCUUAGAAUACCAUUCCCUUCAAUUCGUAUAAAUGAGAUGAACAAACUCUAAUUAUAAGCUCUAGCCAGCAUACAGUCAAUGGUAGCAUGCUUAGUCACCUGGGCUGAAAGAAAAAAAAAAUGACAUCUUCCAUAGAUUACCUUAUAGAAAGAUUCCAUGUGGACAACCUCUAGCUAAAUUUCUAGAAAUGUAGAAAUAAACCAGUAAUUUAGUCAAAUGCCAAUUUUACGAGCAAUAAAAUGGUUGACUUCCUCACCAAGAGGAAAAAAGUCAGGAGGGCAUUGGUAAUAGGAAGCACAAAUGUAAGAGGAAAACUCAAAUCAAGACCUGGCCUGUAUUACAAAAGCUGAAUUUUGAAGAGAAUUUCCCCAUGACAAGUACAAAUUUCAAGCUGUUAGUCAGGUCAUCCAGAGCAUCUUCUGUGACUGCAAUCAGCUAAAAGCAUAAAAUGCUUGCUAACAGCUUCCAGGCAACAAGCCUAAAUGUUCAUUUCUUUAAAUUUGUUAUAAAAAACUAACAUUGGCUUUUUCCAAAAUCAUCGAUCUAGAUAGCAUUGUGAAUUGUCAUGUCUUGCAGAGUUAAUCUUUGUUGAGUCUAAGGAAAGAAUAAAUUCGAGGUCUGAGAUAUUGGUUUCAAAUCUGUCCCUUUUCUCAGAGCUUUGGUUUCUGCACUUUUGGCAGUUCCACUCCAAGUUUUACAGUUUCACCUGAAAAGUUUAAAAAAAUAAUUCAAAAACCCAUUACCAAAUUAAAAAAAGGUAGAAGAAACAAAUUACAUCAGCAUUUUGAAAGAUGAACGCAUUCUUUUGGAAAAUAUCUGUGUAUAACUUUGCAGGCUUCAGGCUAAGGAAAAAAGCAGUAAUAAUAGAAUUACUCAAUUACAUAAAUCAACGAAAACAUGUUUCAUGUCAUUAGUGAGUGCCAUAUAUCAUGUUCCAUUUUUACUGUCAUAGUUGAUAAAACUUUUUAGACAUUCUUCAGAAUUUUCCACGAUCUUUAAAUUUAGAAAAUGAAGGAGAAAAAGGAUAUGGAAAAUGCUAACAAAUUAUAGUUCCCAUAGUUGCUGUAUUCAUGAAACAUCCCAAAAUCAACUACAAAGCUGAAUUUUGAAGAUAAUUUCCCCAUAACAAGCACAAAUUUCAAGCUGUGAGUCAUGUCAUCUAGAGCACCUUCUGUGACUGCAAUCAGCUAAAAGCAUUAGAAUGCUUGUUAACAGCUUCCAGGCAACAAGCCUAAAAGUUCAUUUCUUUAAAUUUGUUAUGAAAAAAUAAUAUUGGCUUCCAUAGUCAUCGCAUCUAGAUAGCUUAGUGAAUUGUCAUGUCUUGCAGAAUUAAUCUUUGUUGAGUCUAAGGAAGAAUAAAUUCAGGAUCUGAAGUAUUGGUUUCAGAUUGGUCCCUUUUCUCAGAGCUUUGGUUUCUGCACUUUUGGCAGUUUCACUCCGAGUUCUACAGUUUCAGCUGAAAAGUUAAAAAAAAUAUUCAAAAACCCAUUACCAUAUUAACAAAAGGUAGAAGAAACAAAUUACAUCAGCAUUUUGAAAAAUGAACACAUUCUUUUAGACAAGAUCUGUGUAUAAAUGUUGCAGGCUUCAGGCUAAGGAGGAAAAAAAAAAAUGUAGUAACAAU